GUGGGUGGAAGCUCAUCGUAGAGAUCACGUGCUGAGUGCUCGUCACUCCACCAAUCAUCUCGGGGAAGGUCUGAGACAAGAGCCAAUAGUCGCCCCCGCAGGGCGUCACCUGAUCCAGGUGAGCGAGUCAACAGAGAAUGUGUGCGCGUGUGAGCGACUCCGGCAGGAGAAGCCUGGUGACGUCACGACAUCGCCGGUGGAUGCUGCGCUCACCUGCUUGGAAACGCUCGCGGCUGGCAAAUGAGUUCGAUGUAUGAGGUGGGGCACAGCUCCAGAACCCAAUUCAGACUACUCUCCUCCCAC
ensembl:ribozyme RNaseP_nuc Nuclear RNase P